rnacentral:rRNA from 1 species
ACGCAGACAACCAGGAUGUUGGCUCAGAAGCAGCCACUCAUUCAAAGAGUGCGUAAUAGCUCACUGGUCGAGCGUCUUUGCGCGGAGAAUUUAACGGGGCUAAACCUGACACCGAAGCUUAGGCAAUACACUUUGUGUAUUGGGUAGGGGAGCGUUGUAUACGCGGUGAAACAGUAGCGCAAGCGGCUGUGGAGUGUAUAGAAGUGAGAAUGCCGGAAUGAGUAGCGCGAAUGCAGUGAGAAUCUGCAUGGCCGAAAGCCUCAGGU